GAUGAACGCUGGCGGCGUGCCUAAUACAUGCAAGUCGAGCGAACAGACGAGGAGCUUGCUCCUCUGACGUUAGCGGCGGACGGGUGAGUAACACGUGGAUAACCUACCUAUAAGACUGGGAUAACUUCGGGAAACCGGAGCUAAUACCGGAUAAUAUAUUGAACCGCAUGGUUCAAUAGUGAAAGACGGUUUUGCUGUCACUUAUAGAUGGAUCCGCGCCGCAUUAGCUAGUUGGUAAGGUAACGGCUUACCAAGGCAACGAUGCGUAGCCGACCUGAGAGGGUGAUAGGCCACACUGGAACGGAGCCACGGUCCAGACUCCUACGGGAGGCAGCAGUAGGGAAUCUUCCGCAAUGGGCGAAAGCCUGACGGAGCAACGCCGAGUGAGUGAUGAAGGUCUUCGGAUCGUAAAACUCUGUUAUUAGGGAAGAACAAAUGUGUAAGUAACUAUGCACGUCUUGACGGUACCUAAUCAGAAAGCCACGGCUAACUACGUG
rnacentral:rRNA from 1 species